rnacentral:piRNA from 1 species
AAUGAACUCCGAAGGCAAGGUAACUUUU